rnacentral:sRNA from 1 species
CGUCCGCCUGCUGCGGCGCGAUGAAAUGAAUGUGGGUGUCAACCGCGCCUGCGGUCAAAAUCUUGCCUUCGCCCGCGAUGACGUCGGUACCCGGGCCGACGACGAUGGUGACACCCGGCUGAAUAUCGGGAUUACCGGCUUUUCCGAUGCCUGAGAUGCGCCCUGCCUUGAUCCCGACAUCGGCCUUGACAAUGCCCCAGUGGUCGAGGAUCACGACGUUGGUGAUGACGAGGUCGGCGACCUCGGCUGCCAGCGCCUGGCCUUGGCCCAUGCCGUCGCGGAUG